GGGCGUGUGGCUCAGUUGGUAGAGCGUUCGCUUAGCAUUGCCUGGGGUUACCUGUAAAAAGAGUACUCCGCUCCGGUUGAUGCGAAAGGUCCUGGGUUCGAUUCCCAGCUCGUCCA